rnacentral:tRNA from 1 species
AUUUAAGUAGCUUAAAUUAGAGCGUGACACUGAAGAUGUUAAGGUAGUAUUUUUUACUUUUAAAUG